AAAUUUGUCAGUUCUCUUGCUCUGUCUGACAUUUCUUUAGUAGACUCCAGAUUUGCACUUGCUUUCUCAAGCAGCAUUUAUUCCUAGAGGGCCAUUACAGCAUCUCUUCAAUUCUUGGAUCCCAUACCAAAGAUGUAGAUGAGUGUCCAUUGAUAGUGGAAAAAGAAAAACUCCAGCUUAAUAUAAAACAAAGAUUUGGGCAAAGGAUGGUUAUCCUGCUCUUAUUUUUUCUGACGUGUGCGUGAGGAGGUCUUGCAGACCAGCACAAGAAAUUCAGUGAUAUGGGAUUUAUAGCCAACAGUAUAAUCCUUCUGCUCUGUUCAUUAACACGUCCACUAUGGAUCACAAGGAUUAUGAAUGCAAAUUGAAUAUAGAGACAAAGUAGUAGAUGACAUCAAGGAAAAGCCACCAAACAUCUGCUUAGAAGAAGACCAGCAUCUGCUAAAAACAACCAAAGACAUAUUUGGUCACCUGCAGGGUGACCAAACCCUUGCACUGCUCUACAAUGCUGCAAUAGCUCCAUUAUCCUGCCUGGUUUUGCUAGAGGAAAUUAAAAGAAGUGAGCAUCAAAAUUUUAAAGGUAUGAAGAGGGUAUGCAUUCCCUCCCUGUAGCAGUUCUAAACACUGUAGAAAAAAAGCAGCAGAUCUGCAAGAAGAGGUAGAAAGCUCUGCUGUAUUUACAUAUAAUGAUGUGAGUAAGCAUAAAGACACCACACACAAACAGAAGACAUGAACAAAAAGAUAGCAUAUUUUGGAAGAGAUGAUCUGUGUGUGAAAGAAGUUCUAGACACACUGGGCAAAUCCCAGUAAACAUUGAGAAAGUCAAGAAACAGAAAAAUUACUGAUUUGUAUUGUUUUGCUAAGAACUGACAUUCUGUGUGGCAUCUAAAGAAAAACAAAUGUGCACAAAACCUCUGCAAGCCUGUUGGCAACAUAUUUUUUUCUUGCAAAUCUAUGAGAACAGCAACUAUGGGUUCCUGGGAAAUGUGUAUCUAAGGCAGUCAGCGAUGAACCCAGAGCCAAGGGAAGCUCAGCUAUGAUGUGCCAUGUCUGGAAAAUGACACCAAUACCUUUACAAAGCAUUUUUGAAAGGACAAGUGUUGUCAGGACAUCCCUUGCAGAGCAAGGAAAGCUUGCAAGCAAAAAAGUGUACUGUGAUGGGCAUCCAGCUGGGAAGAGAUAUGAGUGCUAUAGAUACAGUUCUUAACCUUUCCUUUGUUAAAUUUAUAGUUUGAGCUCCCUCAGUCCCUCACAGUCCUUUAAUAAUUCUCCUGGCUUUCCUUUAAUCCUCUCCAAUUUAUCAAUGCCCUCUCUGAACUGAGGGAUCGAAAGUCACAGCCACACAAGGAAAUGCAGAAGCAGCAUGAUUCAUUUCUACUCAAUAUUUUCACGUUUAUAUCUCACAUUUGCUUCUUUUGCUCUGAAAUUGUACUGAGUGUUCAUGUUUGGUGUGACUUCUUACAUCUUUUUAAGAGCAGCCACUUUUCAAGGCAGAACUUGUCAGACUAGAAUCAGCUUCUACUCACACAUAAAUAGACUGAAAAUUGAGUCGACUGCACUGAAUUACAAACUGUAUAUUUAUUAUAUGUUUACUAAGUAACCCACAUUUCCCUUGUGAAUACGAUUUUUUUGUCAUUCCUUUAUGUGAGUGUACAUGCAUAAGCUGU
ensembl:lncRNA